rnacentral:lncRNA from 1 species
GGGGGGGGGGGGGGGGGGGGGGGGGGGGGGGGGGGGGGGGGGGGGGGGGGGGGGGGGGGGGGGGUGGUGGCCGCCGCCGCCCUCCGCCCGGCGCCGCUCCCGGCCGGCCCCGCGGGCCCGCUCCCCGCCGGCCGCCGAGCUCCGAGCGACCCCCGCGCCUCCCGCGCCUUCCUCCGCCCUUACGAGGCGGCAUCGUCCUACCCCCUGCUCCGCCACCUCCUCCUCCGGCGCGCAGCCCGCGGCUCUGGCAUUCCCAACGCGCUUGCUCUCCUCGAUUCGCUCGCUCUUUCCUCCGCCGUUCCUCCUUCUCCGAUCACAUGAGGAGCAGGCACGGCGACCCAGGACCCUCGUAAGUCGGAGAAGGCAUCGGACACAUCCUCAGCAUACUUUUCAGAGCUCUUAUUUGAGCAGGAUUUUUAUCUCCUUCACGAAGCUGAUGGGCAACCAGUGCAUUUUCUGGAGGAAAAAAAAAACCUCUCUCAUGUUUAGUUCCACCUGUCCCUCUGUUUUUCACGUCCCGAUACUAGCAACCUGUCGUCAGCACAGAAGGCAGAGCUGGCCAUUGUCGAUCACAGCUAUAUUGUAA